rnacentral:tRNA from 1 species
AAGAUCACUAAAAUAGAGCUGCUAACUCUAUAAUAAUGAACUCAUUUGAUCUUU